rnacentral:rRNA from 1 species
GGCGAACGCUGGCGGCGUGCUUAACACAUGCAAGUCGAGCGGUAAGGCCCCUUCGGGGGUACACGAGCGGCGAACGGGUGAGUAACACGUGAGCAACCUACCCUCAACUUCGGGAUAAGCCUCGGAAACGGGGUCUAAUACCGGAUAUCACUUUCCACCUCAUGGUGGGGGGUUGAAAGUUCUGGCGGUUGGGGAUGGGCUCGCGGCCUAUCAGCUUAGUUGGUGGGGGUAAUGGCCUACCAAGGCGUCGACGGGUAGCCGGCCUGAGAGGGCGACCGGCCACACUGGGACUGAGACACGGCCCAGACUCCUACGGGAGGCAGCAGUGGGGAAUAUUGCGCAAUGGACGAAAGUCUGACGCAGCAACGCCGCGUGAGGGAUGACGGCCUUGGUU